rnacentral:rRNA from 1 species
AGGGAAUAUUGCGCAAUGGGGGCAACCCUGACGCAGCGACGCCGCGUGAGCGAAGAAGGCCUUCGGGUCGUAAAGCUCUGUCAUGAGGGAAGAAGCAAGUGACGGUACCUCAUGAGGAAGCCCCGGCUAACUACGUGCCAGCAGCCGCGGUAAUACGUAGGGGGCGAGCGUUGUCCGGAAUCACUGGGCGUAAAGGGUGCGUAGGCGGUAGCUUAAGUCAGAUGUGAAAGACCACAGCUUAACUGUGGGGUUGCAUUUGAAACUGGGUUACUUGAGUAUCGGAGAGGGUAGUGGAAUUCCCGGAGUAGCGGUGAUAUGCGUAGAUAUCGGGAGGAACACCAGUGGCGAAGGCGACUACCUGGACGGUAACUGACGCUGAGGCACGAAAGCUAGGGGAGCAAAC